GAGGCAUCACUAAUAUAAUCAUAUAAUUCGUGUUAUUGUAGUGGACCUGCUUCAAGUGGUAAUAUCAGGAGUAAGGUUCUGAUGACAAAAUAAUGCAUGUGUGGCUGUAGCUAGAUGUAUGCAUGGUAGCCAGAGAUGUUAAGAGAUAUACAGAGCAAAAAGCAAUCACUUUGUUGAACCAUUUCCUUUUUUUUUUCUUAUGCUAUCGUGUUCAUGUCAAGGCGAAUGAGUUGGUUUUAUUAGUGUUGAAAUUUGCUACACGAAGACUCGUCCGUAGGUAAACUCAACAUCAAAUUUAAUUUAAACCUAAAGAUUAGCUGCCAAUUUUGAGUCAUCAUUGAGGAGUUCAUUGCUGCUGGAUCCAGAUGGAAGGUAGUAGGAUGGGUCGGCUCCAUUGAUAACAAGUCUAGAUAAACGACGACAUAUGUUGGGUGGCGAUCUUCUAGAGGUGCCGCCUGUGAUGGGAGACGUGACGUGAUAUACCUGGAGGCAAUGGCGGAGGGGGAGGGGACACAUGAGGUGAUAUACCUGGAGAUAGUGGCCGGGGGUGUGGGGUGGGGGUUACCCCUAGGUCCCUACUUCUGUGUACUACAGGUUGGUUAUUUGUUUUGGUUUUUGCCCUCCCUAAUAAUUGUAUUUUCCCUUUUUGACGCAUGCUAUAUUUUUUUUCUGCCUCUGCCCAUGCUUGGAGAUGGACAUGGGAGUGAGGGGACAAGAUGAAAUUUAUGGUCAUAAAGUUUGUCUUUGAGAAGUAGGAGGGGAGGGCCACGGGGUAGGGCCGCCGGAGAUGCCGUCAUUGACACACCAUUGCUGUUGGCGUCCCUUUCAGCCCAUUA
rnacentral:lncRNA from 1 species